rnacentral:rRNA from 1 species
UGGGUAACCUGCCCUUCACUCUGGGAUAACUCCGGGAAACCGGGGCUAAUACUGGAUAUGACUCGAACAGGCAUCUGUUUCGGGUGGAAAGAUUUAUUGGUGGAGGAUGGACUCGCGGCCUAUCAGAUUGUUGGUGAGGUAAUGGCUCACCAAGGCGACGACGGGUAGCCGGCCUGAGAGGGCGAUCGGCCACACUGGGACUGAGACACGGCCCAGACUCCUACGGGAGGCA